rnacentral:rRNA from 1 species
AGCCUUUCGAAAGAAAGAUUAAUACCCGAUGGCAUAAUGAUUCCGCAUGGUUUCAUUAUUAAAGGAUUCCGGUAAAGGAUGGGGAUGCGUUCCAUUAGGUUGUUGGUGAGGUAACGGCUCACCAAGCCUUCGAUGGAUAGGGGUUCUGAGAGGAAGGUCCCCCACAUUGGAACUGAGACACGGUCCAAACUCCUACGGGAGGCAGCAGUGAGGAAUAUUGGUCAAUGGGCGUUAGCCUGAACCAGCCAAGUAGCGUGAAGGAUGAAGGCUCUAUGGGUCGUAAACUUCUUUUAUAUAAGAAUAAAGUGCAGUAUGUAUACUGUUUUGUAUGUAUUAUAUGAAUAAGGAUCGGCUAACUCCGUGCCAGCAGCCGCGGUAAUACGGAGGAUCCGAGCGUUAUCCGGAUUUAUUGGGUUUAAAGGGAGCGUAGAUGGAUGUUUAAGUCAGUUGUGAAAGUUUGCGGCUCAACCGUAAAAUUGCAGUUGAUACUGGAUAUCUUGAGUGCAGUUGAGGCAGGCGGAAUUCGUGGUGUAGCGGUGAAAUGCUUAGAUAUCACGAAGACUCCGAUUGCGAAGGCAGCCUGCUAAGCUGCAACUGACA